GUGACAUGUCGAGCGGAUGUCGGGAGCUUGCUCCUUGAUUCAGCGGCGGACGGGUGAGUAAUGCCUAGGAAUCUGCCUGGUAGUGGGGGACAACGUUUCGAAAGGAACGCUAAUACCGCAUACGUCCUACGGGAGAAAGCAGGGGACCUUCGGGCCUUGCGCUAUCAGAUGAGCCUAGGUCGGAUUAGCUAGUUGGUGGGGUAAUGGCUCACCAAGGCGACGAUCCGUAACUGGUCUGAGAGGAUGAUCAGUCACACUGGAACUGAGACACGGUCCAGACUCCUACGGGAGGCAGCAGUGGGGAAUAUUGGACAAUGGGCGAAAGCCUGAUCCAGCCAUGCCGCGUGUGUGAAGAAGGUCUUCGGAUUGUAAAGCACUUUAAGUUGGGAGGAAGGGCAGUAAGUUAAUACCUUGCUGUUUUGACGUUACCGACAGAAUAAGCACCGGCUAACUCUGUGCCAGCAGCCGCGGUAAUACAGAGGGUGCAAGCGUUAAUCGGAAUUACUGGGCGUAAAGCGCGCGUAGGUGGUUUGUUAAGUUGGAUGUGAAAGCCCCGGGCUCAACCUGGGAACUGCAUCCAAAACUGGCAAGCUAGAGUAC
rnacentral:rRNA from 1 species